rfam:Fukomys damarensis contig101563, whole genome shotgun sequence.
UGAUGUCCCCCACCCACCCCGAAGAUCCCAGGUAAGCGAGGGAACGGUCAGCAGGACC